GGGCACUUGGGCUAAAUGUGGCUGCUGCUGUUUUAUAGAACUAAUUUCAUUAGAAUAUUAAUAUGCAGCAUCACCCACUCCCCGACCUGUCGGUGGGUCUGGUGCAGCCUUCUAGCCACAAGGGCAGAACUCAGUAGUGGCCAUAAAGAAUGCACGUCCAACAAAAGUCAAGGUUGGUCCUUUACACCAACACUACUGAUCGGGAUAGGGGUGUAUAUGCUGAUGCCCGUAUGAACAUGAAACUGUUAAAACAAAUAUGAGAAAGAGUAACUAGAAACAACAACAAAAGAUGGUGCCUUCUUUGAAGUCCCCGUGGAGCCCAGAACCGAAUGGGUCUGCAAACUGCUGCAGGAAGAAGGCUCAGGAACUAACCACCCAAGGGUUUAGGGACCAAGAGCCCACAGACAAGAACCUAGUGUAAUCCCAUCCCUCCCCCUGCCUGGGUGUGGUCCCACAGUCUCUAGUAGGAGGGGCUUGGUGGGCCUGGGAUCAUAUAAAAGCCCUGCACUCUGCAGCCUGGUCAGUGGCAGAUCUGGUCCUCAGGUGUUCAGACGUGUGGCUUGGGCAGGAGACUUGCUGAAAUGGAAGCGGCUGCGAGUGGCAGGAGGCCUGGCCAGGAACCCCUGGGGAGGCGAGGUGGCUCCCACAGAAAUUCCAAAGGGAUUUGCCCCAAGGCAGACGUGUCCUUUGCAGAGAAAGGAGAGGAUGCCCGUUCCUGUGAGAGGCAGAGGAAGGCCGGCACCACGGAGCCCAGAGAGGGCUUGCAGAGCACAGGAGCGGUCACCAGGCCGAGCCAGGGCGCCAGGGGCCCUGCGCACAAGCGACCGAGAAGCGCCGACGGCCGCCCCGACGGUCACUGCAGAGAGAACGGACCGCAAGCGGCGGAGCCGGCGCGGGGAGGACGGUCUCCAGCCCGCGGGCGCAGCGAGGGACGGCCCGGCAGGAGAGGUGGGCGUCGGGGCGGGCUCUGCAGCCGGGAGCUCCCGUGGGGGGCGGCGCGCGGGAGGGGGAGGGCGUGCG
rnacentral:lncRNA from 1 species